UACAGAGGGGGCAAGCGUUGUCCGGAAUUAUUGGGCGUAAAGAGCUCGUAGGCGGCCUGUUGCGUCCGCUGUGAAAGCCCGGGGCUUAACCCCGGGUCUGCAGUGGAUACGGGCAGGCUAGAGGUAGGUAGGGGAGAAUGGAAUUCCCGGUGUAGCGGUGAAAUGCGCAGAUAUCGGGAGGAACACCGGUGGCGAAGGCGGUUCUCUGGGCCUUACCUGACGCUGAGGAGCGAAAGCGUGGGGAGCGAACAGG
rnacentral:rRNA from 1 species